rnacentral:rRNA from 1 species
UGGGGGAUAUUGCACAAUGGGCGAAAGCCUGAUGCAGCGACGCCGCGUGGGGGAUGAAGGCCUUCGGGUUGUAAACUUCUUUUGCUCUGAACAAGGCGCACCAUGGGGUGUGUUGAGUGUAGGGGUUGAUUAGCGCCGGCUAACUACGUGCCAGCAGCCGCGGUAAUACGUAGGGCGCGAGCGUUGUCCGGAAUUAUUGGGCGUAAAGGGCUUGUAGGUGGCUGGUUGCGUCUGUCGUGAAAGCUCAUGGCUUAACUGUGGGUUUGCGGUGGGUACGGGCUGGCUUGAGUGCAGUAGGGGAGGCUGGAAUUCCUGGUGUAGCGGUGGAAUGCGCAGAUAUCAGGAGGAAUACCGGUGGCGAAGGCGGGUCUCUGGGCUGUUACUGACACUGAGGAGAGAAAGCAUGGGGGGCGAACAGG